rnacentral:lncRNA from 1 species
UCUCUCUUUGUUUUUACUCUCUAUCCUGUAAGAUACAACAGAUGUUCCUAGGGUUUGCUCAGCCUUCCCAUUCGCAAAUUGAAGAAUUUUGAAGGCUCGUCCUCAUCUCCUAUCCUCGUCUCCUAUUUUCUGCUCAAUACUAUCUUCAAAUCUAGGUAUUUCUUUGGUGUUAUUUUUAUGCUCUGCCUUCCCAUUCCCCCAUUUUCGGACUGUGUUUUUCUUUUUAUUUGCUCCACACUAUCUUCAAAUUGUGUAAUCGCCUUUGCUUUUUUAGAGUUAUUAACUUAUUUUUUAUCGCCUUAAAUUAUGGGCUUUCACUAAUUCAUUGCUGCUUAUACUUUAUUGGGCACUAUAGCUAGGGUUCUUCACUCAUACUACAUUAUUUUUGUUGUAUUAACCCAACCACUUAUUUAGUUUAUUUGUUGCUUUUUUAAUGUGCCCUCGAUUUGUUGUUUGCUGCUUAAUAGAUCAUAACCCAUUUAGUUUUUCUGCAAAAAUCUAAAUUUAUUUCUGAGUGACUUUUGAAUUUCUUGUUCUAUUUGUGUUACUGAAUUGGGUAAAACCCAUUUGGUGAAUUUUCCUUGAAAGCGUGAUUUAUCCGUGCGCUUUGCAUGCGAAUUUGUUGUUUUAUUUGUUUUGAUUGGUGAUAGUUUGGGAGAUUUUGAAUGAAGGACAACUGGACAAGAGUGUGCGAUGUGGUAAGAAUUGAAGUUUGGUGUUUUUGAGAGAUGGGGUGUGUUUUUGGGAAAGAGAAUUUGUCGUCUAGGCUCUUAUUGUCUAGGUUGUAGCUGGGAACGGGAGGAGGAAUGAGAGAGAGAGAGAGAGAGAGAGAGAUUCGACUGCAUCGUUGGGGAGAAGAGAGAAAGUAAUAGUUGGUUCAGUAAAUAAGGAGGAGGACCAUGGUAGAUACAAAGGCGGAGGGGGUGGUGAAGUUUAGAAUGGUGGAGAUAAAAAUGGGGAGCCGAAUGAUGGAAAUGUGCAGUAGUUGAGAGGUGAGAGGAGGGGGUCUAGGGCAAAUCCUCGGCUAAGUAAUCUCCCCAAUUUUGCUCUGCUUUAUUGUUUUAGAUAAAAACACAAUCUGAGAGGAGGUGUUAUUUCUUUGCUUUGCUUUGCUUUAUUGUUUUAGAUAAAAAGCUUUUCAGGAAAAAAAAGAGUUAAGAUAUCCUUCCAAUUUUGUCCAUGUCCAAAAGUAUGACUCAUUGUACUUGAGUUUUCAAGAGUAAGUCCUGUAGGAUUGUUUAAUAUCAAACAACAAAUUUUGUUUGUGAAAUAAAAAUGGUUUCUUUAUGAGGUAAUAGAAGGAUAUGCUUCAUGCCAUUAUCAAGAAGCCAUCAAACUAUGCCUUUAACUUGUGAACUUAUACUGAUUAUGUUUUCUAUAUCGAUGGAUGUUGACAUGUUUUGAAAAUUUUAACGUCCUCAUUAUAAAUUGACUUUAACAAAUGGACAAACUGAUAAGUAUGGAUGACUUGCCUACUCAGAAUAGAAUAUUGAAUUAUAUUUCUUGGUUUGGAAUACUAAUAAUUGGAUGACAUAGAAGCUCUUUCUUUCUCAAUGAAGUGACAAAAUUUCAAUUAUUUCCAUCUCUUGUUUCUCUUAUCAUUUAUUGCCACUUCAAAAUGGAUGCCACAAGUCUGUUAUUGCUUACAUUCCAAGAAAUGAAACCUGCAUUAGUACUGACAUUAUCUUUGGCUUAUAUGCUUUGAUAUCGUUUACUUGUUUAUUGUAUAUUUGCUAAGGCACUUCAAGGUUUUCUACUGGAAAUAAUUUAAAACUUGAGCAGGUUAUUUUAGUGUUGCUUAACAUGUUAUGGCAAGGCACUUCUAAUAUGCUUUGUUUUCCCCGCAUUAUUCCUAUCAAUGGGUUAAUACUUUUGAGCAAUAUACUGGAUAUUGAAACUGAAACAUUUAACUUGAAGAGUUUUGAGCAAUUGGUGGUAUGUGAUUAUAAUUAAAUACAUUAAUGUCCUCCUCAAAUCGCCUAUGGAAAGUGUUAUAUAUUUCUUGAUAAUUUGAUGUAUAUUCAAUAUAGCUUCAACAUGGGUAGUCACAGAGUUAGGAAUAAGGAGCUAAUGUCAUGGUCGGACGAGAAUGAACACAUUUUUAUAAAUUCUUUACGAGAGAGUGAAAUCAAAUGCAUUGCAAUAUUCUAUAUUCACGAAAGACGAAUGGGAUAGGAUCAAUGAAAUCAUGAUAGCUUAUACAAAAAUGGAUAACAACAUAGAUAGAUUAAAGGGAAAGUGAAACCGCUUACGUAAGAUUCAUCGCAUGUUCUUUGAACUUUUGGGAUAUACAGGUGUUACAUGGGAUCCAAAUACAAACAAAAGUUAAUGUUGCAGAGGAAGUUUAGCAACACUUUUAUACGCUACAUAUUUUUUUUUUAAAGAAUAUUUUCGUCAUUAGUUUUUAUCUUAUCAAUUUUACAUUUUUUUGUUGAACACUAUGAUAAUGUGACUUCUUUUUUCAAUGAUAGAUUAACAAAUCGGAUUACAAGAUGUUCAAAAGAGAAGAAUGUAAGCAAUACCACACUCUUGGGAAGAUAUUUAGCGGAACUACAGCUUCUGAAGGAUUAGGCAAUACCUCAACUUAGCUUCCAAACACAUCAAAGGAAGAAAGGCAACAAGAAAAAGAUUUUUUGAAUAGAGGAGUACAUGUAUGUACGGAAAAUGGUGAUGAAGUCAAUGAGGUUUCAAGUACUCGUCGAUGUGACAAAAUUGGUACAUCGAGUGAACGUUGACGUAAAGAACCUAAGAUUAGUAAAAGUGAUAAACUCGAGGUCUGCAUGGCAGAGUGGUCAUCUACAGUUAGUUUGAGGAAUGAAGAAACUGAACUUAGAACACUUUACCUAAAAGAAAAGCUUGCAAAGAUCCAAGAAAAUCAUGUAAUCCAUUGGAUAAUGAAAUAGGGCUGGACAUGGUCCGAUUCGGUUCGAUUCUAAUGAGAACUGAACCGAUCCGAAAUUUUCGGGUAUUUAGUAAGUGGAACCGUCGGAUCCAAAUUUAAUUAAGGAACAGUUUGGGUUCGAUUCCAUUCGGUCCGGUUCGAUUCCGUAUUAUAAUUAAUUUUUUUAAUAUAUACAAAGUUAUGUUAAUUUAAUUAAUGAUAUGUUCAAUAUUAGCUCUUACAAAAUAACGUAGUUCAAUCUUAUGUGUUUCACGUCUCUCUUUGCUGAAUUAUUCAUAAAUUUGAUUAUUAAAAUCACAGAAAGAGAAAGAUAGCGAGCUCAAAAUAAUUAAAAGAGAUGUUAUAGAGCUUUAAUUCGAUUUUCUCUGGUAGAAACGACACUACAGUAGAAUAACAGAUUUGGAUAAAAUUGAAGUUAAUUUGAUUAAGUUGAUUUUGAACUGAAAAUUAGAAAUAGGAAAAUCAUAUUUUGUGGUUUGAACUAAAUUAACAAAUUUAUUUAGAAAAAAUAAAAUAAUUUUACUUAUUUAAAAUAAAUUAAUUAAAAAAAUUAUAGAAAUUCGAUUCUUAUUCGGUUCUUCGGGUCUUGACCUAGAAUCGAGAACUGAACUAUAUCAGUCGAUUUUUAAUUCAAAUACCCGUUCGGGUAUUUAACUUGAGAAGAACCGUCGGGUUCGGUUCGGUUCGGGAGUUUUAUCCAGCCCUAUAAUGAAGUUAAUAGUCCGGAUACUUAUUCAAAUGUUAUUUGUUUGGACAUCUUAAUAUGGAAGGGGUGUCCAAUGAGAUUUAUAUAAAAGCAAUAAAGGCUUUUGAGGAUCCCUAUUUUAGGGUGUCAUUUGUGAAGAUGCCAGAAGCAAUGAGAGGGCCUAUCUUAGAACUACUAUGGUGUGACUGUUGCUUUAAUUUUUCUGGUAUCGUGUUGUUUUAAUUUGUGAUGUUGAAGGUUGAAGUGCUGUGUUAUUUUCAUAGCUUGAAGUAUUUUUUCCCCUUUCGUGGUGAUGUUGUACUGUUUUCAUUACAAACUUAGUAAUGUUAGUUGGAGAACUGAUGUUAAUUUUUCUUUAGUUUCUGAAUGCUUGAUUGCUUGUUUUAUUUGAAUGAAUGAUGGUUGAUAUGACUUAUAAUAAUUAUUGUGGUUAUAUUUUGUUUACAGUAUGGCCAGUGAAUCAAAUAUGGAUAAUAAUGUGAGUACCGAUGAUUCCAUUGAUGAAGAUUCGAGUGAUGGUGAUUUGUUAUGUAUGGAUAAUUUUAACGCAAAUUUUGGAUAUUUAAUGGUGCUAAAUUGUUUUGUUGCCAACAAAGGAAUUACUAUUGGCAAGAGACCUUGUAGAACAUCAUUGCUUACCGAAAAAAUGUACAUGCAGA